GGAAAUGAGACCCGUAUCUGAAGGAAACAGAUGUUCGGUACACGGACGACGCCGACUCUCCCAUCACCAAGCUGCCCUCGGUUGCCCAGGAGAGCCACAGUGCCUUGAGAACAUAAGCAGUUUAGUGAACAGAGUUCUUUUCAAAAUUUCCUUUUUCUUAAGGAUCUUGCUCUGGGGAAAGCCAGCUGCAGUGUUGUGCGGGCUGCCUGAGGAAAGGUGCCCUCCGGAAAGAAAUGAUAUCUCCGCCCAACAGCAUGGUGGACCUGAGUCCUGCUACCAGCCACAUGAGUGCGCUUGGAAGCAGGUGGAGCCCAGUUGAGCCUUGAGGUGCCUCCCUCUGUGAGAGACCCCAAGCCAGAGACAUCCGGCCAAGAGGCACCCAGAUUCCUGCCCCACAGAAACUGACAUAAUAACGUUGUUUAAAGCCACUACAUUUGGAGCUCCUCGACAAUGUUCGAGGUGCGAGAUGCUAUAGUUCCCAUCACAUCCAAGGGAAUGGGCACAGACUGGGAAAGUGACUUGCCCAGGGUCACACCAGGAGUAAGAGGAGACGCUGGCAUGUCACACCCAGGCUAGCUGGUUCCAGAGAUCCUGCUUUUAAUUACUGCACUGCAGUAUCUAAGACCUCAGCAGGAUGAAUAGCCUUGGAAGAUAGAGAUCGUGUCUCCCUCCAGAGCAAAGGGCAGAUUAGCUUCAAUGAUGACAGAAGAUCCCGGUUCCCGGGCUCAGAGCUCCGCUGCUGUAACUUCAGCAUGCCU
rnacentral:sRNA from 1 species